AGAGGUCUCAAGCGUUGUUCGGAAUCACUGGGCGUAAAGCGUGCGUAGGCUGUUUCGUAAGUCGUGUGUGAAAGGCGCGGGCUCAACCCGCGGACGGCACAUGAUACUGCGAGACUAGAGUAAUGGAGGGGGAACCGGAAUUCUCGGUGUAGCAGUGAAAUGCGUAGAUAUCGAGAGGAACACUCGUGGCGAAGGCGGGUUCCUGGACAUUAACUGACGCUGAGGCACGAAGGCCAGGGGAGCGAAAGGGAUUAGAUACCCCUGUAGUCCUGGCAGUAAACGGUGCACGCUUGGUGUGCGGGGAAUCGACCCCCUGCGUGCCGGAGCUAACGCGUUAAGCGUGCCGCCUGGGGAGU
rnacentral:rRNA from 1 species